AUGUUACUUUUAGGUUUAAAAAAUAUGAACAUAACAAAAUUAAACGAAUUACAAAUAAACACAUUUUUGACUAUACAAAAAGGAAAAGAUGUAAUUAUAAAUUAUUUAGAUGGGUAUGGAAAAACAAUUGCAUAUUUAUUACCUAUUUUAAACAAUAUUUAUUUUUUACAUGAUUUUUUAGAAAAAAUAAUAUUAGAUUGUUAUAACAGUAAAUCAGAAAUAACUAAAAGAAAUCAUAAUUAUAUUGAAAAUAAUUAUAAAUAUAAUAAUGAACAUUUUGAUUUAUAUAAAGAGAUGAAUAAUUAUUUUUUAAAAUAUAGUCACUAUAAAAAUAAUGCAUUAUUUGAAGACAAUACUGUACAAAUAAAAAAACAAAUGGAUGAAAAUAAUACAUUCAAUUUUUUACCUCCAUGUUUUGAUGAACAAUUAAAUAUAAAGAAUGUGUCAAAAUAUAAACGCUUAGGUAGAAAUUCGUCCAAUAAAAAUUUUAAAAAGACGACUGAUUAUUUAACUGGGAUGGAUCAGAAUAGCGACAUAACGCAAAAACAUGACACGACGCAAAAACAUGACACGACGCAAAAACAUCACAUAACAAUUAUGAACAAAUUAAUCGAAAUAAUAAAAAUAAACAAUAUAAACUUAAGUAAUCUGAACAGGGAUGAAAUAAAUCAAAAAGAGUUACAAAAGUUAGAUAAUAUAUUAAAAUGUAAAACAAUAGGAAAUGAAAAAAUUUAUGCACAUAAAUAUAAUGACAAAUAUAAUACAAACAAAAUAAAUAAUACAAAUAUAUCAUCAAACAAAUAUGAAUCUAUAUAUAGGUAUUUAAUUCGUAAUCCUUUACAAGUAAAUAAACCAGUUGUCAUACUAACAGUAAAUAAAGAUAAUAUUGUUCAAAUUAUUAACGUAAUAAAACAAUUGGACAUUUUAAAUAGAAUUAAUGUUCAGACUUUGAAUAAUGUACCUUAUGUAACUAACUUAGGUUUGGCAAACGAUGGAUUAGGUGACGCAGUAAAUCGUACCACAAAUGAGGAAAAAAAUGAACAGAAAGAUGAAGAAAAAUGGGAAGAAAAAGAUGAAGAAAAAUGGGAAGAAAAAGAUGAAGAAAAAUGGAAAGAAAAAGAUGAAGAAAAAUGGAAAGAAAAAGAUGAAGAAAAAUGGGAAGAAAAAUGCGACGAAGCAAAUGAGAUAGAGCACUUGAUAGACUACGGAAUAUAUCACAGAACAAAUGAAAAUAACACAUUAGAUAUACCUUAUCCGAAUGGCAAAAAAAACAUAAAAAUAAACAAAAAUAUUAAUGAUUAUAGUCUCGAAAACUUAAACCCAAUAAACAUAAACUAUGUAGAAAAUCCUGUUCUAUGUAACGAUCAAAUUGUAUGGACAUAUGCUGAUAUAAUAAUAACAACACCUGAUUUAUUUCUUAAUAGUUAUAAAAAUAAUUCGACUAUAGUUAAUAGAAAUAACAAUCGCACUACUGGUAGUACAAGUAGUGGUAGUAACGAUUUUAUUUUACCAACUGUUGUUAUAUUUGAUGAAAUUGAUAUGCUUUUUCAAAAUAAUGCUUAUAGAAAUACAAUUAUGGACAUAUUUCAAAUGAUAAAAAAAAGACCUGAUAUUUAUAAUCCUCAUAUUGACAUAAGUAAUAAAAGUAUUGAAAAUGUGAAUAAAGAAAUUGAAAGUUUGUUACUAUAUCCAAAAAAGGAAAGUGAUACAUACAGUGACACUAACGAAUCGGAAACUUACUACAAAAAAAACGACAACGGUAAUGACAACGGUAAUAACAACGGUAACGACAACAGAAAAAAUAAUAACGAUACCAUUGAAAAUGUCAAUAAAUAUAACAAACAGACGAAUGAACAAGAUAUUUUGUAUGGUAAUAGUAAAGAAUCUAUCUUUACAUUCAGUUCGAAAGAAUUAAACAAAAAAAAGGUAAAAAGUAAUAAAGAAAAAAACGAGGAUAUACCACUAAUUCAAUUGAUUUAUGUUUGUUCUACUUUACCAUCAGUUGGACAUACUACAUGUGGUAGUAUGUUAUCAGAACGAUUCAACAGUAUCGAUGAAAUAGUAAGUAAGGAUAAUUAUAAAAUACCCAAAAAUAUAUAUACACAAUGGAUCGAGUUAAAUAAAGAAAAAAUCAUUAAUUUGUAUUUAUUUAACAGUAGUAAAAAUAAGAGUGUUUAUGGUAUGAGUAGUGAUGGUGGUGUUGGUGGUGUUGAUGGUGUUGGUGGUGUUGAUGGUAGUGAUGGUGGUGAUGGUAGUAAUGAUAGUAACAGGAGCAAUAAUAAAAAACAUCAACAAACAAAUUUAAAAGAUUAUUCUUUGUCAAAUCAAAUUAACGAAUUUGAAAACUCUUCGUUUGAUCAUCGAUUAGAUGUUUUAAUGUAUGUACUAAAAAAAUAUCAUGAACAAACCAUUAUGUUUACAGACUUUUGUGAAAAACGAACUAGUUUGAACCAGUCGUUUACAAGCGGUGAAAGUAACGGUGAUAGUAACGGUGGCAAUAGAAACGGUAACAACAACGGUAACAACAACGGUAACAACGGUAACAACAACGGUAACAACAACGGUAACAACAACGGUAACAACAACGGUAACAACGGCAGUAGCAAAAACUUUCAACUUAUAAAUAUACCCCAUCCAAUUUAUAAAACAAUAGUAUUUGUGGAAAGUAUAAAAUGUUGUAUAAACGUUUUUAAUUUUUUGAAAAAACAUAGUUGGCCUGCUUUUCUAUUCCACAAAAACUUAUCAUUAAAUACGAGAAUACAUAACUUAUAUAAUUUUUAUUAUUCAAGAGUAGGUAUAUUAAUAACAACAGAUUUGUUGAGUCGGGGAAUUGAUACAAAAAAAGUAGAUCAUAUAAUUAAUUUUCAUUUCCCUUCCGAUGUAAUUACUUAUAUUCACAGAUUAAGUAAGAUUAACAGAUUGAAUAGUUAUAUAAUGGGUAAUUCCAAUAAUAAUGUCGUGCUUAAUACAUAUAACGAAAGUAAAAAAAAAAGAGACAAUUAUGACAAUACAAUGAAAAAAAAAAAUACGAUUGCAAAGCAAACGACUGCAAAACAAACGACUGCAAAACAAACGACUGCAAAACAAACGACUGCAAAACUAGAAGAAAGUACAUCUGAAAAAAAAUAUAUCGUUACAAAUUUUAUUUCUUCUUCUAAUUUACCAUUAGCUUCACAUAUCCAAAAACUCGUUCAAAAAAAUAUAACUUUACUUUCAUUAUUUUCAAGAAAAAAAUCUUUUAAAAUGAAAUGUAAAAGAGAAAGCAAUGAAUAUAAUAAUGAAAAAUAUAUUCAAAUGGAUUUAGAAAAAAAAAAUAACAUACAGUUGGAUAUGAACGAUUAUAAGCUUAACGAACUUCUUAGGAUUCAUAAACAACCAAUUAAUAAUUUAAAAACCGAAGAAAAUAUAAAAGAUUAUUAUUUGGCAAGUAAAACAUUAAGUAAAAAUACUGAUAGAAAUAAUAACAAUUUAUAUGUACAUGCUCCAUUUACUGUUUUUUCAGAGCAUGUUUCGGAGGAAACAGAGUUUACAAAUAAAAAUAACGAAUCUAACAUAUUUGAAAAAACAAAAACAAACAAUAACAAUGACAAUAAUAAAAACAACCAUGUUUAUAAAAACGAUCAAAACGAUCAAAACAUUCAGGAUGUUCAGAAUGUUCAGAAUGUUACUAAAAGCUAUAACAAUUGCAGUUAUAACAAUGAUUAUUAUACAACAAAAGAAGAAUGCAACUUAUCUCAAAAUGAGAAAAGUAACACAAAAGACAUUUUUGGUAAUAAAAAUAUGAAAAAUAUGUCUAAUUCCAAUUUAGUUAGAGAGUUUGAAACAAAACCAUCUUCGGAAUCUAUAACUGGACCUCCCAACUUGAAUAUAUUACCUUCGUGGGAUGACGUCAUUUUUGAUCAUAAAAAAUAUGUUAUUGAGAGAUUUAAAAACAAGGACUGUUAUUUAAUAGGAAAUGUCAAAAGAGGCAAAAUGAUUUUAAAUAAUUUUGAAAAUAAUAAUAAUAGUGAUGACGAUUUGUUAUUUUGA
ensembl:lncRNA